rnacentral:rRNA from 1 species
UGGGGAAUAUUGCACAAUGGGCGCAAGCCUGAUGCAGCCAUGCCGCGUGUGUGAAGAAGGCCUUCGGGUUGUAAAGCACUUUCAGUCGUGAGGAAGGUAGUGUAGUUAAUAGCUGCAUUAUUUGACGUUAGCGACAGAAGAAGCACCGGCUAACUCCGUGCCAGCAGCCGCGGUAAUACGGAGGGUGCGAGCGUUAAUCGGAAUUACUGGGCGUAAAGCGCAUGCAGGUGGUUUGUUAAGUCAGAUGUGAAAGCCCGGGGCUCAACCUCGGAAUAGCAUUUGAAACUGGCAGACUAGAGUACUGUAGAGGGGGGUAGAAGUUUCAGGUGUAGCGGUGAAAUGCGUAGAGAUCUGAAGGAAUACCGGUGGCGAAGGCGGCCCCCUGGACAGAUACUGACACUCAGAUGCGAAAAGCGUGGGGAGCAAACAGGAUUAGAUACCCUGGUAGUCCACGCCGUAAACGAUGUCUACUUGGAGGUUGUGGCCUUGAGCCGUGGCUUUCGGAGCUAACGCGUUAAGUAGACCGCCUGGGAGUACGGUCGCAAGAUUAAAAGCU